CUAGGAAGUUGAACAGAAAUGUAUCUAUAACCUAGGGAGUUGAAAAGAGAUGAAUCUGUGACCUAGGGAGUUGAAAAGAGAUUCAUCUGUGACCUAGGGAGUUGAAAAGAGAUUCAUCUGUGACCUAGGGAGUUGAAAAGAGAUUAAUCUGUGACCUAGGAAGUUGAACAGAAAAUAAAACUGAUAGGUAGUUGAUGAGAGCUGAAGAUAGGCAGAAGUUAGGUGUUACUGAAAGAUAUUGUGGAUAAGUUGAAAUUAUAAACAGAAAGACAAUGAGGUUUUCAUCUGAAAAUAAUUUUAACUUGCAAAAGGAGAAGUUUUUUUCUCUCGCUUGGUUACAUUGAUGUAUGUGGGAGACACUUUUUUAAUAAUGAGACUUUUUAUUUGUGCAGUGGAACAAACACUAAAGGAAAAUAGUUUUACAGAGGCCUAUAUUUUAAUGCUAUGUACACAAAUGUAAUCAAGCUAUAUAUUAUUGUUUGUGUGUGUGCAUUUGUGAGCGGUUUUGUUGUGUGUGUGUGUGUGUGUAUGGUCUUUUAGGAUAUUGAAUCUACAACUGAAAAAUAUGCAAAUUGAAGGUUAGUGUUACAAGACAAGGCUUCAUAGCACACUGACGUUUUAUUAGCAUAAGGCUAAACUGACACUUCAAUUACUAUAAUUGCCAUAUAUCUUUACAAUGUACAGGUGUCUUUUUAUAGGAGAAUGCUUCCAGGGAAUAUGAUACAAAAAGAGCACAACUCCUAGAUUUGAAGGAAGACUUUUUAAGAAAGAGAUGAAAUUGAUCAUAUAGGAAGUAGCUAGUUGUUUCUCCAAUAGUUACCUGGUUAAGCAUACUGUAUAACCAGUCAGGUGUAGUGCAGGUUGCCAUGUGUAAAUAUUAUGAAACCAUUUCGCAGCACAAAUUACCAAGUAAGAGCACAGUAAAAAUGUUGACACACUAUGAAGGAAGAUGAUGACAGAAGAAGCGGGGCAUCUUCAGAUUUCAUCAGAGCUACUGUAACGUCAAAACCACAGGCAGUAGCCCUGCGCCUGAAACUGAGCCUCUGUCUCAAAAGGCACAUUCUUCCAAUCUUAGUGCACUCGUUUUGACCAGGCUCGGCUCAAAAGCAGUGUACUAUAUAGGGAAUAUGGUGCCAUCUGGGACAAACAGACAGUUUAUAUUGUGAACUCAGGAAGAGAUCUGAAUGGAGCUACGCUAUUUUGACUAUCAGAAAUAUAUCAUGGUCGAGUUCUGAUUUGCUGUGGAGCCACACUAUUUUGACAAUCAGAAAUAUAGCAUGGUGGAGUUCUGACUGAUUUGCUGUGUUUUUUUUUGCUGUGCAGAAACAAUUGCAAUUCAGUGCUGAAGCAGACAACAUUCACUAGUGAAUACUCUGCGAUACUUAAUGAUACUCCAUGCUACUUCAUGAGACUCUACAAUACUUCCCGACAGUUCUGCCAAGGGAUUUGAACACAGAGUGAGACAGGUUUCUGAUUGUAGGCCUCUGACAUUACUGAACACUUGUGGAAUUUUAAUUAACAUGCACACGAGAAAGAAUUAUCAGUUGAUUGUGUUCAUUUUGAAUUUGUGGUGUUUUUAUUUUUUAUUGCAUUACUUAUCAUUGUAACCGCAGAGGCUUUGCUUUGCUAUCUUACAUGUAGUGUCCUUCAAAGCGCCAGUAGAUUCUGGGUGAAGGGGGGUGGUGAUGUUGCCCUAUGGCUUGCAAGGAGCAUCAGCGGUGUCAUAAAGUGGUCACAAACAUAUCUGAAGGUCUGCUUAUAUGUGUUAACCCGAUUAUAUGGGCAUAUUCUGCAAAUAUUGGUUUAUAUAGUACUUGUAAGGCUCACAAUAUUCAUAUAUAAUUAUUUUCUCAUUAAAAAUAAAUUGUUUAAUUUUGUGAUGAUUGGUUGAUUAAUCUGUUAAGCAGCUGAGUAAUCGGGUUUGCCCUUGCAAUUUUACUGGCCUUUCGUUUACCAAUUUAAAUGUACUAACUGUUUAUCCAUGCAAACAUGUUCCUAUUUCCUUGUGGGAACCACAAAAAUUAUUUCCUAUUUUCCCCUUAAUCUAAUCCUAACCUAACCGGAACCUCAAUAGCCUAACUUUUAUAACUAAACUUAACCUAACCCUAAAACAAAC
ensembl:lncRNA